rnacentral:rRNA from 1 species
UACAGAGGUCUCAAGCGUUGUUCGGAUUCAUUGGGCGUAAAGGGUGCGUAGGCGGCGCGGUAAGUCGGGUGUGAAAUCUUGGAGCUUAACUCCGAAACUGCAUUCGAUACUGCCGUGCUUGAGGACUGGAGAGGAGACUGGAAUUUACGGUGUAGCGGUGAAAUGCGUAGAUAUCGUAAGGAAGACCAGUGGCGAAGGCGGCUAUCUGGACGGUUCUGACGCUAAGACGCG